AUUGAACGCUGGCGGCAUGCUUUGCACAUGCAAGUCGAACGGUAACAGGCCUUCGGGUGCUGACGAGUGGCGAACGGGUGAGUAAUGCAUCGGAACGUGCCCAGAGGUGGGGGAUAACGCAGCGAAAGCUGUGCUAAUACCGCAUGUGAUCUGAGGAUGAAAGCGGGGGACCAGGCAGCAAUGUUUGGCCUCGCGCCUUUGGAGCGGCCGAUGUCAGAUUACGUAGUUGGUGGGGUAAAGGCCUACCAAGCCGACGAUCUGUAGCUGGUCUGAGAGGACGACCAGCCACACUGGGACUGAGACACGGCCCAGACUCCUACGGGAGGCAGCAGUGGGGAAUUUUGGACAAUGGGCGCAAGCCUGAUCCAGCAAUGCCGCGUGCGGGAAGAAGGCCUUCGGGUUGUAAACCGCUUUUGUACGGAACGAAAAGGCUCUGGCUAAUACCUGGGGCUGAUGACGGUACCGUAAGAAUAAGCACCGGCUAACUACGUG
rnacentral:rRNA from 1 species